rnacentral:rRNA from 1 species
GGGGGGGGGGGGGGGGGGGGGGGGGGGAGGCAGGGGGAGGGGGGGGGCGGGGGGUGGGGGGGGUGGGCGAGGGGCGAGCGGGUGAGGAACAGGGGGGGGAGGGGCCCGUGAGGGGGGGAGAAAUUCAGGAAAGGGGGGCGAAGAGUGGAGAGGAGCUGCUGAUGCAUGGGGGGGGUGGGAGAGUUUCGGCGGUGGGGGAGGGACUCGCGGCUUAUCAGCUCGUUGGUGGGGUAGUGGCUGACGAAGGCUUUGACGGGUAGCCGGCCUGCGAGGGUGACCGGCCACAUUGGGACUGAGAUACGGCCCAGACUCCUACGGGAGGCAGCAGUGGGGCAUAUUGCACAAUGGGCGGACGCCUGAUGCAGCAACGCCGCGUGCGGGAUGACGGCCUUCGGGUUGUAAACCGCUUUCGCCUGUGCCGAAGCGUGAGUGACGGUAAUGGGUAAAGAAGCACCGGCUAACUACGUG